AUUGCUGGUCAACCGGGAAGUGGGAAGAAUGCCAUUGCAAUGGGAUUCUACUAAAGAAUACAAGCCAGCUGGAUUCGCAAAAACAUCUUGUGUUCCAUGGAGUGGAAGUAGUAAAGGUAAAGAGAACCAUUCAGAACCAUUACUACAACUCAUGCAAGUGUUUCCUGACCAUUCAAUUGAUACUCUCCAAAAAGCACUACGUCAAUGUGAAAUGGAUGCUGAGGUGGCUGCUUUGCUGUUAC